rnacentral:rRNA from 1 species
UACGUAGGGACCGAGCGUUGUCCGGAAUUAUUGGGCGUAAAGGGCUCGUAGGCGGUUUGUCGCGUCGGGAGUGAAAAUCCAGGGCUUAACUCUGGACUGGCUUCCGAUACGGGCAGACUAGAGGUAUGCAGGGGAGAACGGAAUUCCUGGUGUAGCGGUGAAAUGCGCAGAUAUCAGGAGGAACACCGGUGGCGAAGGCGGUUCUCUGGGCCGAUACUGACGCUGAGGAGCGAAAGCGUGGGGAGCGAACAGG